GAUGAACGCUAGCGACAGGCCUAACACAUGCAAGUCGAGGGGCAGCACAAUGGUAGCAAUACUAUGGUGGCGACCGGCGCACGGGUGAGUAACACGUAUGCAACCUACCUGUAAGCGGGGAAUAACCCGAAGAAAUUCGGACUAACACCGCAUAAUACUGAUUAACUUCAUGGUUUUUCAGUUAAAUAUUUAUAGCUUACAGAUGGGCAUGCGUAUGAUUAGAUAGUUGGUAGGGUAACGGCCUACCAAGUCAACGAUCAUUAGGGGUUCUGAGAGGAAGGUCCCCCA
rnacentral:rRNA from 1 species